AUUGAACGCUGGCGGCAGGCCUAACACAUGCAAGUCGAGCGAGCGGCGGACGGGUGAGUAAUGUAUGGGGACUGCCCGAUAGAGGGGGAUAACUACUGGAAACGGUGGCUAAUACCGCAUACUAUCGGAUAACCCAUAUGGGUUUAGCUAUUAGGUGGGGUAAAGGCUCACCUAGGCGACGAUCUCUAGCUGGUCUGAGAGGAUGAUCAGCCACACUGGGGCUUGAACACGGUCCAGAAUCCAAGGGAGGCAGGCACGGGGAAUAUUGCACAAUGGGCGAAAGCCUGAUGCAGCCAUGCCGCGUGUAUGAAGAAGGCCUUAGGGUUGUAAAGUGCUUUCAGCGGGGAGGCGUUGCCCGCAGAAGAAGCACCGGCUAACUCCGUGCCAGCAGGCGCGGUAGUAC
rnacentral:rRNA from 1 species